rnacentral:tRNA from 1 species
GCCUUUGUGGCGUAACGGUUGAACGCUCGGCACGUAUUCGAGAGGUCUAGGGUUCGAGUCCCAGCUAGGGCA